CCUGAGAAACCCAAAAGAUCGAACGGGGAGAUUCAUCGUCAGCGAUCCUGGCGCGGGUACGGUUCGUGAUGCCGGGUGGUCGACUUCGGUCAACUCACUUUGGCACGCGUCCGUAUGUUUUUUUAUUUGCCAGGUGUCGUCGGCGUGCACUUCUCCCCUAGUAGGACGUCGCGACCCGUUGGGUGUCGGUCUACGGCCCGGGUGGGAGCCUGUCACGGUGUACACACGCUUUACGGCGUUUGUGUGCAUUUUGUGGCAGACCCCCGGUUGUCUGGCCGGCUGCUCGACGGUACUCGUACGGUAUCGAGCCGCAAAAUUUUUUUGAACUGCGUCCAGCCCGUCGCAAGCGAGGUCAGUGUACCCGGAUGUUUUACGGACCUAGUGCCGUCACCGGGCCUGGCCAGCUGUUGGUCGGCGGUGUCCCCUGGGACAGGCUUAUGAAAUACCGGUCGGCGACGCUAUUGCUUUGGGUACUUUCAGGACCCGUCUUGAAACACGGACCAAGGAGUCUAACAUGUGCGCGAGUCAUUGGGACUUUUUAAGCCCAAAGGCGCAAUGAAAGUGAAGUUCGGCCUUGCGCCGACCGAGGGAGGAUGGAUCGCGUUACGAUGCGAUUCCGCACUCCCGGGGCGUCUCGUUCUCAUGCGAGAAGAGGCGCACCAAGAGCGUACACGUUG
rnacentral:rRNA from 1 species